rnacentral:rRNA from 1 species
AGAGUUUGAUCCUGGCUCAGAUUGAACGCUGGCGGCAUGCCUAACACAUGCAAGUCGAACGCGAAAGGGCUUCGGCCUGAGUAGAGUGGCGGACGGGUGAGUAACGCGUGGGAAUCUGCCCUGCAGUGGGGGACAACCCGGGGAAACUCGGGCUAAUACCGCAUACGUCCUACGGGGGAAAGGGGGCCUUUGGGCUCUCGCUGCAGGAUGAGCCCGCGUCCGAUUAGCUAGUUGGUAGGGUAAUGGCCUACCAAGGCGACGAUCGGUAGCUGGUCUGAGAGGAUGAGCAGCCACACUGGGACUGAGACACGGCCCAGACUCCUACGGGAGGCAGCAGUGGGGAAUUUUCCGCAAUGGGCGAAAGCCUGACGGAGCAAUACCGCGUGAGGGAGGAAGGUUCAAGUAAUUGUAAACCUCUUUUAUCAGGGAAGAAAAAAAUGACGUACCUGAAGAA